rnacentral:rRNA from 1 species
UCGGUGAAAUACCACUCUUACCAUAGUGGAUUCCUUAACUUCGGACCCUGAUCGGGUUCAGGGACAGUGCCUGAUGGGUAGUUUAACUGGGGCGGUUGCCUCCUAAAGAGUAACGGAGGCGCUCAAAGGUUUCCUCAGAAUGGUUGGAAAUCAUUCAUAGAGUGUAAAGGCAUAAGGAAGCUUGACUGCGAGACUUACAAGUCGAGCAGGGUCGAAAGACGGACUUAGUGAUCCGGUGGUUCCGCAUGGAAGGGCCAUCGCUCAACGGAUAAAAGCUACCCCGGGGAUAACAGGCUUAUCUCCCCCAAGAGUUCACAUCGACGG